rfam:Schistosoma rodhaini strain Burundi genome assembly, scaffold: SROB_scaffold0006298
AUCCAGCUGACGAGUCCUAAGUAGGAUGAAACGAACGUCCUGGGU